AGAUUUGACCGUAGGUCUUUUAUUUUGUUGUGAAAUAAUAAAGUGCAGGUUUUUUUGUAUUUUAUGUAUAUUUAAUUACAAAUUGGUCACUUAUUUCAUAACAGCGUACUGUACUAUGUUUUUGCCUUGUGAAGGACUUUGAACUGUCUUGUUGCUGAAAUGAUCUUUACUAAUAAACUUCAUUUAUUUGUGUAGAUAAAAAGCUAAACUUAAAUCAGUGGAAAUAUGCAAAGAGGUCAAACAAGAUUAAGAUUAAAACUCGCUGUAAAAAAAACAACAAAAAAACACCUGUUUUCAGUUAAUGCUAACGUCAGGUGACUGAGGAGAAACCAGGCCAGAACAUUUCCUCCUUUCGGGAUCCGUUCCAACUGCAUCAGAUGGACCUGCAUUGAUUAGAUCUUUGAAUGAAAAACAGUUCUCUGUUUUUUUUAAAAAUUAAAUCAGGCAGUAUUGUUUAGCCAAGCUCAAUGGAAUAAAUCCUUAACCACUGCACAUUUUUAUUACAGGUGGUGCUGGCACAGGAAAAAAUCAUUUAAUCAGGGCAAUUGAAUAUGAAUCAAAACGUUUAUUGUCGACUGUGAGUCGAUAGUUGCUUAUCAGAAGUGUUGUUUUUAGGUAAAGGAGCACAUGUUGUGUAAAAAUGUGAUGGCUGAUAUCUGUUAUGUUCUGGGGUUCUCUGGUUCUCUUGGUGGGGUUUUUCUGUGCGCCUUUUCCACCUCUUACCACCAGAUGGCGACAGGUUCCGGUUGGAGUGCGGUGGUGUCAUCAUCAUCCUCAGCUGUCAUCGAUUACCCUCAUCAGCGGACCAUACUUUAGGAGUUGACCGCCAGUCCAGCGUCGCCUGAGUGUUUGCCAGUCAAGGUACCUCUGAGCCCCCUUGAGCCCUGUCUCUGUGUUCCUCGUUACCUUGAGCCUUCCAGUGAUCCUCUUUGUGUUUCUCUGUUGCCUUCAGGUGAUCCCUUUGACACUCUGGACCCGUUGACCAGAUCCUGGCAGUUUUCCUGGUUUCAGAACCUCCCUCGUGACGCCGUGGAAAAUACCCACUGGUUGCCCGAGUUCCCAGACUCACCUCUCCGUUGUUUUGCAAGUAUCUCCUGGAUCCCACGGCUGGCGGUCGAACCACUCCUCUGUGUCUCCAUUGCACCCGAGCCUACCUGUCCGUUCUCCGCCGCACUCCUCCAUUGUUCCUGGACCCACUAAGAGACCGAGACCCUGGACAUAAUCAGUUAUCCUCCAAGAUUCAGAUCCAACCACCACAAUGAACCACUGCAGCCUGUUACCGUUGAUUCCCUGGACCAGACCACCUCGACACUUUCUGAUAAUUGUGUAAUCUUAAUAAAUCACUUAAACUGA